rnacentral:rRNA from 1 species
UACAGAGGUCUCAAGCGUUGUUCGGAUUCAUUGGGCGUAAAGGGUGCGUAGGUGGCGCCGUAAGUCAGGUGUGAAAUUUCGGAGCUUAACUCCGAAACUGCAUUUGAUACUGCGGUGCUUGAGGACUGGAGAGGAGACUGGAAUUUACGGUGUAGCAGUGAAAUGCGUAGAGAUCGUAAGGAAGACCAGUGGCGAAGGCGGGUCUCUGGACAGUUCCUGACACUGAGCCACGAAGGCCAGGGGAGCAAACGGG